CAGGCCUAACACAUGCAAGUCGAACGGUGUCUAGCAAUAGGCAUAGUGGCGCACGGGUGCGUAACACGUAACUAACCAACCCACCAUUGGGGGAUAGCCCGCCGAAAGGCGGAUUAAUACCGCAUAACACUUUAACUCGGCAUUCGGGUGAUAAGUUAAAGAUUUAUUGAUGGUGGAUGGGGUUGCAGGACAUUAGCGAGUUGGUUGGUGAACGGCUGACCAAGGCGACGAUGACAAGGGGAGCUGAGAGGCUGGACCCCCACACGGGCACUGAGAAACGGGCC
rnacentral:rRNA from 1 species